GACGAACGCUGGCGGCGUGCCUAAUACAUGCAAGUAGGACGCAGUUGCGAACGGGUGAGUAACGCGUAGGUAACUACCUAUUAGAGGGGGAUAACUAUUGGAAACGAUAGCUCAUACCGCAUACUAGUAUAUGGUCCUUCUUUGUAUUAGCUAGUAGGUAGGGUAAUGGCCUACCUAGGCAACGAUACAUAGCCGACCUGGGAGGGUGAUCGGCCACAGUCGGACUGGGACACGGCCCAGACGCCGCCGGGAGGCAGCAGUAGGGAAUCUUCGGCAAUGGGGGGAACCCUGAACGAGCAACGCGGGGGGAGUGAAGAAGGUUUUCGGAUCGUAAAGCUCUGUUGUUAAGGAAGCGGUAGUUAAAGAGAAAGGGACGGCUAACUACGUGCCAGCAGCCGCGGUAAUAG
rnacentral:rRNA from 1 species